rnacentral:rRNA from 1 species
AUGGCAAAAGCAAUGAACCAAUACCUACCACUACCGGUCAUUACAAUGCCGCCCUUGUACAAGGUUCAAAGACAUUAUACUGAGAAGGAAAGGAGAUGCUACGGUCAGCAGCUUCCUCGUGCCAUCGCGCUCGAUCCAGGAGGUGCUAGCUCAUGCUGGCUGGAACUAGGAUGCAAAAGGGUUGACGGAUCCAUGCCGCACAAGCACUGCGCCAUGCUCAGUCCAACCCCGUGGCUUCAGGGUGGCCGAGUUCGUCGCGACCAUCAGUUCAGAGACCUGCGUCACUACCCGUGUCGCUACCAUGGCCACCUGCAUCACUGCGUGCUCCGUCAACAGCCUCCUGCACAGGGAAAAGCAACAGGAGUAGAGGUGUCUGAGAUGCUCUGUUCUAGCGAGGUGGCUAAUUAUGUUUGUUAG